AACGAACGCUGGCGGCAUGCCUAACACAUGCAAGUCGAACGAGACCGUCGGGUCUAGGGGCGCACGGUUGCGUAACGCGUGGGAACCUGCCCUUAGGUUCGGAAUAACUCCCCGAAAGGGGUGCUAAUACCGGAUAAUGUCUUCGGACCAAAGAUUUAUCGCCUUUGGAUGGGGCCGCGUUGGAUUAGCUAGUUGGUAGGGUAAAAGCCUACCAAGGCGACGAUCCAUAGCUGGUUUGAGAGGAUGAUCAGCCACACUGGGACGGAGACACGGCCCAGACUCCUGCGGGAGGCAGCGGUGGGGAAUAUUGGACAAUGGGCGAAAGCCUGAUCCAGCAAUGCCGCGUGAGUGAUGAAGGCCUUGGGGUUGUAAAGCUCUUUUACCCGGGCUGAUAAUGACAGUACCGGGAGAAUAAGCUCCGGCUAACUCCGUG
rnacentral:rRNA from 1 species